rnacentral:lncRNA from 1 species
UCGCGGGUGGCCGAAUUUGGGAUGCAGCGGCAGAGGGAGGAUCGCUACAGCUUCGCCAGCACCGAGAUCCAGUGCGUGCGCUACUGGUGGGUACUGGGGAGUGGUAGGGGCCUUCCUCCUCUGCCCUCCUUCAUCAUCAUCAUUGGCUUCGUCAUCUUCUCCAUCUCCUCCGUCUUCUUCAACUCUUCCAUCUUCUUCAUCUUCUUCAUCUUCAUCUUCUCCAUCUUCUUCAUCUUCUUCAACUCUUCCAUCUUCUUCAUCUCCUCCAUCUCCUCCAUCUUCUUCAUCUUCAUCUUCAGCUUCUUCAUCUCUUCCAUCUCCUCCAUCUUCAUCUUCUUCAUCUUCUCCACCUCCUCAAUCUUCUUCAUCUUCUUCAUCUUCAUCUUCAUCUUCAUCUUCAUCUUCAUCUUCAUCUUCUGCAUCUUCUUCAUCUCUUCCAUCUUCUUCUUCUUCAUCUCCAUCUUCUUCUUCUUCAUCUUCAUCUUCUUCAUCUUCUUCAUCUCCUCCAUCUUCAUCUUCAUCUUCUUCAAUUCUUCCAUCUUCUUCAUCUUCUCCAUCUCCUCCAUCUUCACCUUCAUCUCCUCCAUCUUCUUCAUCUUCAUCUUCAUCUUCUUCAACUCCUCCAUCUUCUUCAUCUCCAUCUUUUUCAUCUUCUUCAUCUUCUCCAUCUCUUCCAUCUCUUCCAUCUCCUCCAUCUUCAUCUCUUCCAUCAUCUCCAUCAUCUUCAUCUCCACCCCUCUUCUGUCUCCUCCAUCAUCUUCAUCCCUUCUCCACCAUCUCCUCUUCCACAGCCUCCCAGAGACCCCCCUCAAAUCCCAUUGCCCCCUCCAGUACCCCCAUAGUGCCCUGCAGACCACCAUAGCACCCCACAGACCCCCCAAUCACCCCACAGACCCCCCAAUCACCCCAUAGACCCCCCCAAAUCACCCCGUAGACCCUUCCAACACCCCAUAACACCCCAAUCGCCCCAUAGACCCCCCAACGACCCCAUAGACCCCCUCCAAUCACCCCAUGGUCCCCCCCAACAUCCCCCAGACCCCCCCCAGUCACCCCAU